rnacentral:rRNA from 1 species
UACGUAGGCAGCAAGCGUUGUUCGGAAUUACUGGGCGUAAAGAGUGUGUAGGUGGUGUUCCAAGUUUGUCGUGAAAUCUCCCGGCUUAACUGGGAGGGUGCGGCGAAAACUGGAAUGCUUGAGGAUGGGAGAGGAAAGCGGAAUUCCUGGUGUAGCGGUGAAAUGCGUAGAUAUCAGGAGGAAUACCGGUGGCGAAAGCGACUCUCUGGACGGCAACUGACGCUGAGGCACGAAAGCGUGGGGAGCAAACAGG